rfam:Dendroctonus ponderosae Seq01018302, whole genome shotgun sequence.
UGGGGGCUGCCUGGUUUAGAAUUCCUACGCUUUACCGUGGCUCCUUCAGUUGGUAAAGCGUUUGGAUUCUGAAUCGGGCGGCUC